UACGUAGGGUGCAAGCGUUGUCCGGAAUCAUUGGGCGUAAAGCGCGCGUAGGUGGCCAUUUAAGUCCGCUGUGAAAGUCAAAGGCUCAACCUUCGAAAGCCGGUGGAUACUGCGUGACUAGAGUACGGAAGAGGAGAGUGGAAUUCCUGGUGUAGCGGUGAAAUGCGCAGAUAUCAGGAGGAACACCAACGGCGAAGGCAGCUCUCUGGGACGUUACUGACGCUGAGACGCGAAAGCGUGGGGAGCAAACAGG
rnacentral:rRNA from 1 species